UGCUCCGGGCGUCGGCCUGUG
rnacentral:siRNA from 1 species